rnacentral:rRNA from 1 species
AACGAACGCUGGCGGCAGGCUUAACACAUGCAAGUCGAGCGCCCCGCAAGGGGAGCGGCAGACGGGUGAGUAACGCGUGGGAAUCUACCCAACCCUACGGAAUAACGCAUGGAAACGUGUGCUAAUACCGUAUACGCCCUACGGGGGAAAGAUUUAUCGGGGAUGGAUGAGCCCGCGUUGGAUUAGCUAGUUGGUGGGGUAAAGGCCUACCAAGGCGACGAUCCAUAGCUGGUCUGAGAGGAUGAUCAGCCACAUUGGGACUGAGACACGGCCCAAACUCCUACGGGAGGCAGCAGUGGGGAAUAUUGGACAAUGGGCGCAAGCCUGAUCCAGCCAUGCCGCGUGAGUGAUGAAGGCCCUAGGGUUGUAAAGCUCUUUCACCGAUGAAGAUAAUGACGGUAGUCGGAGAAGAAGCCCCGGCUAACUUCGUGCCAGCCGCCGCCGUAAUAC